rnacentral:rRNA from 1 species
GAUGAACGCUAGCGGGAGGCUUAAUACAUGCAAGUCGGACGGUAACAGGUCUUCGGACGCUGACGAGUGGCGAACGGGUGCGUAACGCGUACACAACCUACCUUUUACUGGGGGAUAGUUUUGGGAAACUGGGAGUAAUACCCCAUUCGUUUGAGCUGCGGCAUCGCGGUUCAAAGAAAGGUUUACUGGUGAGAGAUGGGGUGUGCGUCCAUUUAGGUAGUUGGUAGGGUAACGGCCUACCAAGCCGACGAUUGGUAGCUGGUCUGAGAGGAUGAUCAGCCACACGGGCACUGAGACACGGGCCCGACUCCUACGGGAGGCAGCAGUAGGGAAUAUUGGGCAAUGGACGCAAGUCUGACCCAGCCAUGCCGCGUGCAGGAUGAAGGCCCUAUGGGUUGUAAACUGCUUUUGUACGGGAAGAAACUUCCGCACGUGUGCGGAAUUGACGGUACCGUGCGAAUAAGCAACCGGCUAAACUCCGUGCCAGCAGCCGCGGUAAU